rnacentral:lncRNA from 1 species
CUAUUUUUUUGCUAGCACCACAGACCUUCAAGAUUCAUAAACUAUGAAUGCAAACAACAGAUCAUUAAAAGUAUACUUUGUGCUAGUGAUUUCUUCUCAUCACUUCAACAGAGAAAAAGAACAUUCUAGAAUCCUAACAAUGGUGACAAGGGGUGUGGACACAGCGUUGUUAGGAGGGGGAGACACCAGAGCACCAACUUCUCUCACUUAAACCUUAUGACAACCUUAAGAAGUAGGCAGCAUGAUCCCCUUCUUGGAAAUGCAGAAAGAGAGAAUGGGGGAGAUUGAGAGGCUUGCAGAAUGUGACAUCAUUAGGGAGAACAGUGGUUGAGGUCCAGCAGCUCCUGCAGAUGGGUGGUGGUGGAAGGAGGAGAGAAUGGGCCACAGGCAGGCCAAGGGCAAGCUUAGCAGCACUCAACAUCCUCCAUGAACUCAACAGAAGUCAAGAAUGCAGGCAGCUCAUGAUGAAGACCUGCAGCGGCCCAGGUUUACCAAGCUCAUUCACAAUUGCAGUUGGAGAAUUCGUCUUUGGUCAUUUUCUACUUUGGAAAUACGGUACAACUGGUCAGGGAGAACCAAUGGCAGACAUGUGCUAUAUCCCAACACACCUUGACUCUUGCUCUCACCGGAAGCUCAGCUUAGGGAAAGGAGAUCUUAAUAGGAGACAGAAGACCCGGACGCUGGUUUUGAUUGUGCCCUUCUCCAGCUGUGUGGCCUUGAGCAGGAUAUUUUUUACAUAAAGCAUACUGCAUGGGUGUCCUACUGGUGAUGGAAAAAGAAAUGAAAGCAUCUCUCAAAAGGGUCAAACCAAGGCCAGGUUUUAUUUGGUGUUUGAGAAAACCUGGAUUAUUUGGGUCAGGAGAAAAUUUUGGACUUCCUGCUAAUCACAGGAUUUCAACAGCAAGCGUCUUCAAAUCAUGUGUGACAUCCCCUGGCUGAUAAGAGCCUUCCCACCUCAUCUCAAGGAAGGCAACACCUUUCAUAACUACUAGAAUGACUACACUUGCCUCACUAAAUUGUAGUUGUUGAACCACAAACUUGAUUCCUACUUCUGUAAAAAUAAAUCAGAAUUAAAAUGAUUAAGAUAUGGAAUUGAGCCUCCAUGAGGUUUCAGCAGGCAUCCAUAACCUACAGGGUUAUGACAGUCAUAUUUUCUGAAUCCCAAAUCAGGACAUGGGACCAUGGAAAUAGAGAAGACCAUCAAGCAGAACGUUUGACUUCAGUUCUGUCGUGAAGAUUCUGGGUUUUCAAUCCUUCUAACUACAGUACUAGAUGACAAAGAUGAUUUAUUGCACAUUAAGCACUCAUGAGUGCUCUAUUAACCUCAUUCCUUGGAAUGAUUGUUUUAAAACAACUUUCCAUUUUUGCUAUUAAAAUACCUACUACUUGGGAGACUGAGGCAGGAGAAUCACUUG